rnacentral:rRNA from 1 species
GACGAACGCUGGCGGCGCGCCUAAUGCAUGCAAGUCGAGCGACGCAUGCCCGUGGGUAACCACUAGGUAUGACGGAGCGGCGAACGGGUGAGUAACACGUGAGUAACCUGCCCCGAAGACCGGGAUAGCCCGGGAAACCCGGAUUAAUACCGGAUACCCUCUCUGGAUCGCAUGGUCCGGUGAGGAAAUGCCUUUGUGCUUCGGGAUGGACUCGCGGCCUAUCAGCUUGUUGGUGAGGUAACGGCUCACCAAGGCUACGACGGGUAGCUGGUCUGAGAGGACGAUCAGCCACACUGGGACUGAGACACGGCCCAGACUCCUACGGGAGGCAGCAGCAGGGAAUCUUGUCCAAUGGGCGCAAGCCUGAGACAGCGACGCCGCGUGAGGGAUGAAGGCCUUCGGGUUGUAAACCUCUUUCAGGAGGGACGAAAUUGACGGUACCUCCAGAAGAAGCCCCGGCCAACUACGUG